ensembl:lncRNA GBA1LP glucosylceramidase beta 1 like, pseudogene
ACAUUGGGAAGCCAGAAUUACUUGCAGGAGUAACCUAGUGCCUAUAGCUAUGGCAGUGACCCUGAGGUGAUGGAGUUUUCAAGUCCUUCCAGAGAGGAAUGUCCCAAGCCUUCGGGUAGGGUGCCUUCAGCCGCUACAAGAGCAGAAGCAGUGGGCAUUGGAUGGAGCUGAGUACAGGACCAUACAGGCUAAUUGCACCGGCACAGGAAUCGGAUAUAACAUCAUCUGGGUACCCAUGGCCAGCUGUGACUUCUCCAUCCGCACCUACACCUAUGCAGACACCCCUGAUGAUUUCCAGUUGCACAACUUCAGCCUCCCAGAGGAAGAUACCAAGCUCAAGAUACCCCUGAUUCACCGAGCCCUGCAGUUGGCCCAGCGUCCCGUUUCACUCCUUGCCAGCCCCUGGACAUCACCCACUCGGCUCAAGACCAGGGGAGCGGGGAAUGGGAAGGGGCCACUCAAGGGACAGCCCAGAGACAUCUACCACCAGACCUGGGCCAGAUACAUUGUGAAGUUCCUGGAUGCCUAUGCUGAGCACAAGUUACAGUUCUGGGCAGUGACAGCUGAAAAUGAGCCUUCUGCUGGGCUGUUGAGUGGAUACCCCUUCCAGUGCCUGGGCUUCACCCCUGAACAUCAGCGAGACUUCAUUGCCCGUGACCUAGGUCCUACCCUUGCCAACGGUACUCACCACAAUGUCCGCCUACUCAUGCUGGAUGACCAACGCUUGCUGCUGCCCCACUGGGCAAAGGUGGUACUGACAGACCCAGAAGCAGCUAAAGGCCUGUGUGGGUUCCAAGUUCUGGGAGCAGAGUGUGCGGCUAGGCUCCUGGGAUCGAGGGAUGCAGUACAGCCACAGCAUCAUCACAAACCUCCUGUACCAUGUGGUCGGCUGGACCGACUGGAACCCAUCAUUGUAGACAUCACCAAGCACACGUUUUACAAACAGCCCAUGUUCUACCACCUUGGCCACUUCAGCAAGUUCAUUCCUGAGGGCUCCCAGAGAGUGGGGCUGGUUGCCAGUCAGAAGAACGACCCGGACGCAGUGGCACUGAUGCAUCCCGAUGGCUCUGCUGUUGUGGUCGUGCUAAACCGCUCCUCUAAGGAUGUGCCUCUUACCAUCAAGGAUCCUGCUGUGGGCUUCCUGGAGACAAUCUCACCUGGCUACUCCAUUCACACCUACCUGUGGCGUCGCCAGUGAUGGAGCAGAUACUCAAGGAGGCACUGGGCUCAGCCUGGGCAUUAAAGGGACAGAGUCAGCUCACACGCUGUCUGUGACUAAAGAGGGCACAGCAGGGCCAGUGUGAGCUUACAGCGACGUAAGCCCAGGGGCAAUGGUUUGGGUGACUCACUUUCCCCUCUAGGUGGUGCCAGGGGCUGGAGGCCCCUAGAAAAAGAUCAGUAAGCCCCAGUGUCCCCCCAGCCCCCAUGCUUAUGUGAACAUGCGCUGUGUGCUGCUUGCUUUGGAAACUGGGCCUGGGUCCAGGCCUAGGGUGAGCUCACUGUCCGUACAAACACAAGAUCAGGGCUGAGGGUAAGGAAAAGAAGAGACUAGGAAAGCUGGGCCCAAAACUGGAGACUGUUUGUCUUUCCUGGAGAUGCAGAACUGGGCCCGUGGAGCAGCAGUGUCAGCAUCAGGGCGGAAGCCUUAAAGCAGCAGCGGGUGUGCCCAGGCACCCAGAUGAUUCCUAUGGCACCAGCCAGGAAAAAUGGCAGCUCUUAAAGGAGAAAAUGUUUGAGCCCA